rnacentral:rRNA from 1 species
GCAGCCGCCGCGGUAAUACGGAGGGUGCAAGCGUUAAUCGGAAUUACUGGGCGUAAAGCGCACGCAGGCGGUUUGUUAAGUCAGAUGUGAAAUCCCCGAGCUUAACUUGGGAACUGCAUUUGAAACUGGCAAGCUAGAGUCUUGUAGAGGGGGGUAGAAUUCCAGGUGUAGCGGUGAAAUGCGUAGAGAUCUGGAGGAAUACCGGUGGCGAAGGCGGCCCCCUGGACAAAGACUGACGCUCAGGUGCGAAAGCGUGGGGAGCAAACAGGAUUAGAUACCCGGGUAGUCCCUGUCUCUUAUAC